GGUAUUUUGACUAUACAAAGGUAUUGAAAUAAGGCUUUAAUUGAGUGCUAAAAGAAUGGAAACACAGAAAAAUUCUUUUUUAAACUUAAAAAUUUAAGUUAAUUUUAUUUGUGAAGAAGCAAUAAUAACAAUUAAGGACAAGAAGACCCUAAGAAUUUUAAAAAAUUUUUUUUUAGUUUUUACUAAACUAAUUAAUUUUUUUAAUUGGGGCGAUUAAUAAAUAUAAUAAAACUUUAUUUAAAUAAUAAAAUGAACCAAUAAUAUUGGUUGAAUGCAAAAAUACUCUAGGGAUAACAGCGUAAUAAUUUUAGAUAGUUCUUAUAGACAAAAUAGUUUGCGACCUCGAUGUUGGAUUAGGAUUCUUUUUUAAUGAAGAAGUUAAAAAAAAAAGUUUGUUCAACUUUUAAAUUCCU
rnacentral:rRNA from 1 species